GAUGCGACUAGGUCGGGGAGGUAGGCGUGCCCUGUUACCAGAAACCGUCUAGAUGCUGGGACCGAAGCCCUCGGGGCGUCGACUGAACGUGGCAAAGGUGCUGCCUACGCCGAUGAAGUCCUGUCCUGCUUGAUUGGUGGGGCGCGAGGCCCUUUUGGAGGAAAGGGUUAACGCGCCUUGUCUCCCGAACCCCGCCAGGUCCGGAAGGAAGCAGCGGUAGGGAGGACAUUCAAUGCUUGCGGGAUUGCAGGAUGGAGAACGGGGCAGUCCUCUCUUUGCCACCGGAUGUCGGCCACCCGCGGGCGCGUCGUGAC
rnacentral:SRP_RNA from 1 species